UUUGCAAACACAUUUCUAGGUGCAACGUACACUACCAUUUCUACUGAGUAUCUGUAGUUUUAAAAGGUUUAUCUUAUAUUUAAAAAUGAUUUUUAGUUGCACACAAAGCUAUAUUUGAAGAUGCAGCUAAUAAAAAAUAGGAGAUAGAGAGCCGCUUGAAUGAAAAUGAAUAUUUAGGCAUUUUACAUGGUAUUAUGAGAGGUAUUUUGAACUGUUAGAAGACUUCCAGUAAGCAGCUUGCUCCGACCCCAGGGCAAGAGGUGCAGCAACAGAAUCAAUUCCCACCGUUCCCAAACCAUGAUUCUCAAACCAGACACUAAUUUUGAAAUCUAUGUUUCAACUCUAAUAAAAUGGGGGAGAAUGGCAGGGGGAAGUUACUUGAUCCUGCAUUAAGUUGCUAUAGAUUAAGUCAAUCAGGCUUUCUACUCUUUAAUAACUUUGACAGCUGGAAACUCCCUGAAGGAAACCAGUUCUGAUGCUUGUGCUGCAUUUGGCAUCUGGCUGACCCUGGUACAGCAGCAUCUUGCGUCCCACAACGCAGCCCCAGCAACGCAGCCAGAGGUGGCAGCUUCCACUUGGAAUGUUUUUCUUCUGCUGUUCGGGGUCGCUGGAGCUCAGCUACGGAUGAGUCCGAUUGGGAUGAGUCUGAUCAUAUUCAGGCCAACAUUUUCUGAAAAAUUAGAAGGAAGUGAGCCUGCAUGUGAUGAAAUUUUCAGGCUGUGA
rnacentral:lncRNA from 1 species